AAUCUUAUUGCAAUGUUGCAACCUGGGUGAUUGACUAAAUGGCCAUAUUUAGGGAUGCAUCUCCUUCAUGAGAACUAGUUUAUCUGAGAAAAUGGUCCUUGAUGGAGUGCAAUGGCAGAAAAGGAUUCGUGUAGCUGAUUCCAGUUAGUUGGUCUUUAGAUGAUGCUAAUUUUCUUGGUGAGAACUGCAUAGUGGAUUUUUUUAUUAGUGGUCAUUGCAUUCGUUUUUUUAAAUGGCAUUAAAUCACGCCAGUAUUUAUUUCUUUUAGAUUGAAUGGCAAAAUCAUUUUUAGCAGUUGAAGUUCUGUGAUAUUUGGUGGAGGUAUCCAGAAAUGGCCUCUUAUGAUAUUUAUGUCACUCAACAUUAAUUUGUUAUAGGCUAUGGUGAGUUUAUUGGAAAACAAGAUUGAAGAAAUGCAAUUGGAAGAGAUGCAGCUUCAAUUCAAAGAAACUGAAAAGAUGCUAGUGAAGGAACAAGAGGCUGUGAAAGAAGCAACAAACCAAAUUCCUGUCAUACAGGAGGUCCCAGUCAUUAAUAGUGUGUUGUUGGAUAAAUAGACUUUUGAAAAUGAACAACUGAAGGAACUGCAUACAAGAACAUAGGUUCUAGCAGCUCAAAGGUGCUACUAAAGGGAAUGGAUUACAGAGAACUUGAAGUCUUGAACGCGGAUAAAGGAGAUAAACUAGAAAGCUCA